GGGGACAACAGUUGGAAACGACUGCUAAUACCGCAUACGAUCUAAUCUCGGGCAUCGAGGAUGGAUGAAAGGUGGCCUCUAUUUAUAAGCUAUCACUGAAGGAGGGGAUUGCGUCUGAUUAGCUAGUUGGAGGGGUAACGGCCCACCAAGGCGAUGAUCAGUAGCCGGUCUGAGAGGAUGAACGGCCACAUUGGGACAGAGACACGGCCCAGACUCCUACGGGAGGCAGCAGUGGGGAAUCUUCCGCAAUGGACGAAAGUCUGACGGAGCAACGCCGCGUGAGUGAUGACGGCCUUCGGGUUGUAAAGCUCUGUUAAUCGGGACGAAAGGCCUUCUUGCGAAUAGUUAGAAGGAUUGACGGUACCGGAAUAGAAAGCCACGGCUAACUACGUGCCAGUAGCCGCGGUAAUACGUAGGUGGCAAGCGUUGUCCGGAAUUAUUGGGCGUAAAGCGCGCGCAGGCGGAUUGGUCAGUCUGUCUUAAAAGUUCGGGGCUUAACCCCGUGAUGGGAUGGAAACUGCCAAUCUAGAGUAUCGGAGAGGAAAGUGGAAUUCCUAGUGUAGCGGUGAAAUGCGUAGAUAUUAGGAAGAACACCAGUGGCGAAGGCGACUUUCUGGACGAAAAUUGACGCUGAGGCGCGAAAGCCAGGGGAGCGAACGGGAUUAGAUACCCCGGUAGUCCUGGCCGU
rnacentral:rRNA from 1 species